rnacentral:rRNA from 1 species
UACGAAGGGGGCUAGCGUUGCUCGGAAUCACUGGGCGUAAAGGGUGCGUAGGCGGUCUUUUAAGCCAGGGGUGAAAUCCUGGAGCUCAACUCCAGAACUGCCUUUGAUACUGAGGAUCUUGAGUUCGGGAGAGGUGAGUGGAACUGCGAGUGUAGAGGUGAAAUUCGUAGAUAUUCGGAAGAACACCAGUGGCGAAGGCGGCUCACUGGACCGUUGUUGACGCUGAGGUGCGAAAGCGUGGGGAGCAAACAGG